AAAAAAAAAAAAAAUCUAAAUGUAGGUCUUGAUUGCAAGUUACAUAUCUAAAGGUGACUUCAAGACUGUCAGAGAAGUUACCAAUUUCGUGUUAAAGAUAGGAGUAGUGACAGGUGUUUCCUUGGCUGCAAUUUUGGGGGUAUCUUUUGGAUUGUUGGCCACUUUGUUAACCAAAGAUCCUAAAGUUUUAGGAAUUGUUAGAACUGGAAUACUGUUUAUCAGUGCCACUCAACCUAUUACUGCAUUAGCUUUUAUUUUUGAUGGCCUCCAUUUUGGCGUUUCUGACUUUCCAUAUGCUGCUUGCUC